UGAGCGUGUUUGGUUUGGAUUGCAUGA
rnacentral:piRNA from 1 species